rnacentral:rRNA from 1 species
AGAGUUUGAUCCUGGCUCAGGAUGAACGCUAGCGACAGGCUUAACACAUGCAAGUCGAGGGGCAGCGGGGGUAGCAAUACCCGCCGGCGACCGGCGCACGGGUGAGUAACGCGUAUGCAACUUACCUAUCAGAGGGGGAUAGCCCGGCGAAAGUCGGAUUAAUACCCCAUGAAACAGGGGUCCCGCAUGGGAAUAUUUGUUAAAGAUUCAUCGCUGAUAGAUAGGCAUGCGUUCCAUUAGGCAGUUGGCGGGGUAACGGCCCACCAAACCGACGAUGGAUAGGGGUUCUGAGAGGAAGGUCCCCCACAUUGGUACUGAGACACGGACCAAACUCCUACGGGAGGCAGCAGUGAGGAAUAUUGGUCAAUGGCCGAGAGGCUGAACCAGCCAAGUCGCGUGAAGGAAGAAGGAUCUAUGGUUUGUAAACUUCUUUUAUAGGGGAAUAAAGUGGAGGACGUGUCCUUUUUUGUAUGUACCCUAUGAAUAAGCAUCGGCUAACUCCGUGCCAGCAGCCGCGGUAAUACGGAGGAUGCGAGCGUUAUCCGGAUUUAUUGGGUUUAAAGGGUGCGUAGGUGGUGAUUUAAGUCAGCGGUGAAAGUUUGUGGCUCAACCAUAAAAUUGCCGUUGAAACUGGGUUACUUGAGUGUGUUUGAGGUAGGCGGAAUGCGUGGUGUAGCGGUGAAAUGCAUAGAUAUCACGCAGAACUCCGAUUGCGAAGGCAGCUUACUAAACCAUAACUGACACUGAAGCACGAAAGCGUGGGGAUCAAACAGGAUUAGAUACCCUGGUAGUCCACGCAGUAAACGAUGAUUACUAGGAGUUUGCGAUACAAUGUAAGCUCUACAGCGAAAGCGUUAAGUAAUCCACCUGGGGAGUACGCCGGCAACGGUGAAACUCAAAGGAAUUGACGGGGGCCC